CUGAAUUGAUUGCAAUAGAUGUGAUCUUGCCACUGAAUUGGUUUCAAUAGAUGUGGUAUAAUAGCUGAAUUGGUUGCAAUGGAUGUGAUCUUGCCACUGAAUUGGUUGCAAUAGAUGUCGUCUUCACUGAGUUGGUUCCAUUAGAUGUGGUAUAAAAAUGGUUUGAAGAGACUAUUCUUCAAAAUGUGGAAGAUGUUUAAAUUUGACUUAUUGUUGACAAUCGAUAUUUCUCAAAUGCAUUUAACCUUUGU
rnacentral:lncRNA from 1 species